AGGAAAAGGAGAGUAUGGAUAUUGGGCAACAUCUUUUCUCCUUUUUUUCUUUUUCAUUCUGCACUUUUAGCAAAGGAAAGAGGAAGGGAAAAGGAGGUAGAACAGCCGUGACCAUUGUGUGUUUUCCAGCUGCUUGGUGUUGUUAUGUGGCUGGGUUACCUUUAUGACUACUGGUGGAGCUGAGUUGGAUAGGGCCCAACUUGGCUACUCUAAUUUUAUUUUUUCACUACUUUCUACUUAAAGCAGUCAUGAGAGCAUGUAUUGAAACGCCGG
rnacentral:ribozyme from 1 species